rnacentral:tRNA from 1 species
GUUUUAAUAGUUUAAAAAAAACAAUGAUUUUGUAAAUCAUAAAUAGGAGCAACCUUUAAAACU